UGCUGCCUACGGGGCGCAGCAGUGGGGAAUAUUGCACAAUGGGGGAAACCCUGAUGCAGCGACGCCGCGUGAGCGAUGAAGUAUUUCGGUAUGUAAAGUUCUAUCAGCAGGGAAGAAAAUGACGGUACCUGACUAAGAAGCCCCGGCUAACUACGUGCCAGCAGCCGCGGUAAUACGUAGGGGGCAAGCGUUAUCCGGAUUUACUGGGUGUAAAGGGAGCGUAGACGGCUGUGCAAGCCAGAUGUGAAAGCCCGGGGCUCAACCCCGGGACUGCAUUUGGAACUGCGUGGCUAGCGGGUCGGAGG
rnacentral:rRNA from 1 species